rnacentral:rRNA from 1 species
CAAUAGCGUAUACUAAAGUUGUUGCAGUUAAAAAGCUCGUAGUUGGAUUUCUGGCUCGGCAAGCCUAGCCCGAGGACCUGGUGUCCUUGUGAGCUGGCGCUUGUCGGCCAUCCUUCAGGAGAGUGUUUCUGCCCUUGAUUGGGUUGGGGACAGGAUCCUGAUCGUUUACUUUGAAAAAAUUAGAGUGUUCAAAGCAGGCGUGUGCUGUGAAUACAUUAGCAUGGAAUAAUAAGAUAGGACUUCGGCCCUAUUUUGUUGGUUCUGGAGCUGAGGCAAUGAUUGAUAGGGAUAGUUGGGGGUGCUCGUAUUCAACGGCCAGAGGUGAAAUUCUUGGAUUCGUUGAAGACGAACUUAUGCGAAAGCAUUCACCAAGGAUGUCUUCUUUAA